CACUGGCUCUAUCACUGUGUUUGUGCUGAGGCAACACUUCCUGUGAGCUGCUCCCUGCCAGCGACAGAGCCACUGCUGCAAGACCCAGGAUUCCUCCAGCAGAUUUUGACUUAUGGAUCUUCCACUGGCCUGGCUGACUCUUUCUUGGAACUACAUUGAAGUCCAGCACUCUUCCCACCCACUCCUCUUCCCUGCCCCUCACCUCUGCAGCUGUCAGAUCUGGACUGUGGUCUGAAAGCUCUCCUUGCCUCCCCUGGCAUCCUCCUGCUAACCCUUCACAGGCGUGUUUCCUCCUGUAAAUCUCUGGCUUGUCUAAUCUCAUCCUGGCAUCUGUGCUCAGAAGACAUGAACCAACACAGGGUUGACAAGCCAUCUUUGGAAGGACACGUGGAACAGCCAGAUUGAUGGCAGACAAAACACUGGGAAGCACUUUGAUGGAGGAUGAAGAGACUGAGGAGGGGAUGCAAAGUCAUGAGGAUAAUGAGAUGGCAGAGCCAAAGAUGGGGGUCAGUCCAUGUCCAAAGCCUGGUCCACAUUCCCAAUUUGAGGACAACGCUGUCAGGACCCCCAUGGAAUCUGCUGUGGCCUCUGCAAUGACAGCCUCACAGUCAGACUUCCUUCUCUGCUCAAGCUCGCUCCUUCACACCCCUACAGAUGUUGAUUCAAGAGCACCCUCCAAGAAACCUGAUCUCCACUGCAGUCUGCCUCCCAGGAAACCUAGCAUGUGAUGGUUGGUGGCAAGAGUGGCACGAGAAAGCAGAUGCUAAAGCUGGGUCACCCACCAGCUGGCUGGAAAUAAGGAGCAUAUGGCCUCAGCACCAUCAUCCAAGGGCUUAUGGAGUGUUUGAUCUACGAAGAGGAGAUCCUACAAAAGAUCACAUUGGAAUAAGAGACACACUUUGUAGCAAACAGGGCAUGGUAGUGGGUACAUGAUGGAUCCACGGCCCUGUCCUGAACUGUGCCACACAGAGCAAUGGGAUGGCUUGUUGAGACGCAACUGAGAGGCUAGCUGCGAGGCUGUACCUUACAGUAUCUUCCCAAAAUCACCCACCGUGAUAUGGUGCCAUGUCCCUAUCAGUUAGAACACACAGAUCUGAGAACCAAGGAGUGGCUCUGCCUCCUCCCACUCCCAGAGACCCACUGGGAGAAUUUUUGCUCCUGUUCCUGCAACGCUGGGCUCAGUAUUUAGAGAUCUUGGCUCCCAGGAAGAGGAUGUUCCACUAGGGUGCACAGCAGGAAUCCCAUUCAAGUUUUGUCUGCUGUCCAGUCACUUCAGCUUCCUCAUGCCAAGAAAUCAGAAGGCUUGGAAAGAGUCACCUGCUUGAACGGAUAAUUGAGCCUGAUUGUCUGCAGGAGGUUGGCCUGUUGUUAUAUAAGGGAGGCAUGGGAGACUAUAUUUGACCCCAAUCACCUUGGUUCUCCCUUGUAGCAGCCUUAGCCUGAGAGGGGCAAGGUGACUAGGAGCUCGUCAUCCCACUUAGGAAAGCCACCGAAGACCAGCAGAAGUGCUAGCCGAGGGGGAGGGGACUCCACCACGGGUAGUAGAAGACGGAGAUAACUGACUCCUAGGUGGGGUCUCAAGACUAGUGGCAGCGCUAAAGACUGGUUUUUCCCAUUAACUUUUCUUUUAGAAGUUGGCUCCAAAGACUGAUGCCCACCAGGCUGGAGGGAGCUGCCUUACCCAAAGCCAUUCCUGCUUCCCUGGGCCGGCCCAGCUUCAGAGCUCCUCCUGGAUUCCAUGCAGUCCAACCUCCCCUGCACCCCCUCCUGCUGCCAUUGGUCCCCCUCAGAUGCUGAUCCUGAGGUAUCAAGCGGUAGAAAAACCUACUGAAUUCAAAUUUCCAUCUCUUUCACUUUC